UUGGUGAGAAACCUAUGCAGAGAAGCCAG
rnacentral:piRNA from 1 species